UGCAUCGGCAUCAUGGUGAGUGGCGUGCGGUGCUGCAGGUGGCAUCUGCAUCUUGACGAGCGGCGGGCGGCCUCAGCCUUACUGUGGGUCUUUUCACGGCGGCGGCGUGUAGCCUGGCAGCGCUGGGUGGCAUCGCCAUUGUGGUGAGCGGCAGUUCUUAUCGGCACUGCUACGGGCGGAGCUCUCUGGUGGUUUUCGAUGUCAGUGUACGUUGAACGUUCACGGCGUGGUGCUGGCGAAGACCUACGGAGGCUUCUUCUGGCAGUGAGCACCUAAGCUGUGACCAACGACGUUGGUGUGGUUUCAUCUCUUGCUCUCCUUACAGGUGAUACUGACACACUUCUGAUUGUUUCCUGCUCAUCUUGACACAGCCAGCGAACGGUACUUCUUUCUUCGCCCCUGGUACUCCUCAGCACCACCCUAUUUCUGCCAAUUUGGUUGAUUAAGUGACGAUUUUUUUCUAAAAUUGUGCAUCAUCUUUGCUUUGUAAUUGUUAAAUUUUACUCGACGUAAUUACUGCUGUUGUAAAAAUGAAUAUUGAGAUAAGUAAUUAUGCAUCUUUUUUUUUUAAUUUGUUGGCUGCAAUCGUAUCUCCAAUCUAGUGCUACUGGGCAUAAUCAACUAGGUUCUAUGUGGACGUAAUGAAAAAUGCUCUCAUAUUCAACCCAAUGAUUCUUUAUCAACUGAGUCACUAUCUUUUAUCUAACAUAAAUCAGAAAUAAAUAAAAUUCAUGUAAUUGGGUAAACAUAUCAUGUGAUUAAUGAGUUCAAUGCUAGGAAACUAUAUGACCUGAAUAUAUUAAGGUUGUUACAGGGAAUCACCUCUUCAUGGUCAUUCUGGCGGAACAUUUGUACUUCAGCUAGCCAUCGGCAUGCUGGGGAAAUCAUGUCAUUGAUCCGGAUAUUCCUUUCUCGGUCGUUGAUCCAGAUAGUCCCUUCUCGAAUAUGUUUUCCACGUUGUUGCCUUUUUGGGCAUGGAAGAAACAGGGUAUACUUAUCAUUGUAUUGAACCACUGACUGCUCCACAUCUUCCCCUCCAUUGAAUAUCAAAUUAAUUCCAUUUCUUUGUAUUCCACUGAAAAGGCAGGCUUUCUAAUAAAAAAAAUCUUCAUCCUUCCUAUUAGUAAUUUUGGGUCUGAGCGUUGGAUGCUUUUUUUGUGCAUCUGCUCAUAUGAAGGAAGAAGGUUACAGCUUUAUUAUUUUGUUAUUUCUUUUCUUUGGGCACAUCCUAAUUAUUAUUCUGUAAUUAGUGAUGUCUGAUAUAUUUUCACGUGUAUUAAUCGAAUGCCAACUUCAUAUGUACAUGUCUUCACAGAUUCACUAGUGAGAUCCACUUAUACAGAAGGGGAAAUUUUAUAUCACGGGCAUCCUAUUUAUAUCAUUGUCUGCCCACCCAGCCUGUGAUCUAUGGCGCAUGAGCCUGCCGGCAGCUGGUGAUCUAGUAAUUGCGGCACGCAAGGUAUGGCAUGGUGAGCUUCUAUAUCAUUUCCUGCCUCAUAUGUGUAUAUGUUUGUGUGCUCAAUCUGGUGAUGAUGAAGCCAGAUUUACACUCCAGCUGUUUAUUCCUGUUUGGCCUUCUAGGGACCUAAAACUCCCAGGUGGUCAUAUCAAUAGCCAAAAUAUGUCCCCUUUCUGCAGCGUUCCCUCUGUUUGCCAAUAAGGUCUAUGGCCUUCUUCUUCAAAAAAAGUCAACUGAUAGAAUUAAUUCUUUUUUACAUUGCCCACCCAUAGUUCUGAAGUAUUGCGGGAGCCAUGAUGGAUAUGUGUCUUAUUUUUUAGCUUUACAACCUUAGAUUGUUUGUAUGAUAGCAACUCUUUCUCCUUUGUCUAUACAAAGUAAAAGAUGAUACAAAUGUUGUACAUCUAAUGACUGUGUUGAUACCUUGAGACUUGAGUAGCGAGAUGACCACAUAGCUGUUCCGUUUCACUAUAGAAGUUAACUUUGUACCUCUGUAAUUUGCAUAGUAUUUGUUUUUGUGAUUCAUGCUUAUGUCCAGGUCAUAUAUAUGUCGAGAAAACCUUUCCAUUAUCAAUAGCUCAUAGAGAAAUGCUACUUCCUCCGGUUCAUAUUAAUUGACUCAACUUUGUGUAGAUACAAAUGAAUUUAGUUAACAAACGUGUCUAGAGACAUCCGUAUUUAGACAAAGUUGAGUCAAUUAAUUUGGAUCGGAGGAAGUGCAAAAAACUGAAUAUGAUGUUACGCUGAUUUUGUUUCCUAAAUCAUUUCCUUGAACUGCUAGCUUUGCUCAAGAUUUUCUUUAAAUAACCAUAUACGUAGUAUUUGCGAGGGUAAGAAAUAUCUUUGACUUGUGAGUGUAAGAUAUGGCCACAGUGCCCAAUUUUUAAUGCCUCGUUCCAUCUUAGAGAAUAUUGGACUACUGAGGGUAUGCAUUUUUUUACGUUGGUUUCUUUGAACCAAUUAUGUUCAUAUCAUCAGGAACUGAAUACUCUUGUUUCCUGAAUGCCUCCAGAUAAAAUCAUCUUGAAUUUGCUAUAUUGAGAAUUAUAUAUCAUGCUCUCUUUUUGUCUGAUCGAUUGCUAGCUUCUCCAGAUGCAGAUGCAUGUGUUUUCUUACGAUUCAAUGCACUUCUUGCAGUCGGUCGAUGUUUGUCAUUCGCUACUGUCCACUUAAUUUAUCUACUACGAAACAUACUAUCAAUAGAAGACAGAAGUUGCACAUAUCUUUGUUGUAAGAAUUAUGAAGCUCGAGAGACCAGUACUGCGAACAAUUAAAGUACACCGAAUUUGCAACAUUGAAAAGUUGGUUACUGUGGAUGUUUUGGAGCGCAUGUGGACACCAAACCUACGGUGUCAAUGAUGUUGACCUUGAAAUAUUUGGGACUUACAACUAAUGAGGUGCCUAUGCGAAAAAUUUCCAGAGGGCUGUUUUAAGGAACCUAAUUAUAGGAUUCUGCUAUGUAAUAAAGUAUUUAUGUACUCCAUAUGUAAAAACUGUGAGAUUUGAUUACAAGACCAUA